AACGAACGCUGGCGGCAUGCCUAACACAUGCAAGUCGAACGAGACCUUCGGGUCUAGUGGCGCACGGGUGCGUAACGCGUGGGAAUCUACCCUUGGGUUCGGAAUAACAGUUAGAAAUGACUGCUAAUACCGGAUGAUGACGUAAGUCCAAAGAUUUAUCGCCCAAGGAUGAGCCCGCGUAAGAUUAGCUUGUUGGUGGGGUAAUGGCCUACCAAGGCGACGAUCUUUAGCUGGUCUGAGAGGAUGAUCAGCCACACUGGGACUGAGACACGGCCCAGGCUCCUACGGGAGGCAGCAGUGGGGAAUAUUGGACAAUGGGCGAAAGCCUGAUCCAGCAAUGCCGCGUGAGUGAAGAAGGCCUUAGGGUUGUAAAGCUCUUUUACCAGGGAUGAUAAUGACAGUACCUGGAGAAUAAGCUCCGGCUAACUCCGUGCCAGCCGCCGCAGUAA
rnacentral:rRNA from 1 species